UACGUAGGGGGCAAGCGUUGUCCGGAUUCAUUGGGCGUAAAGCGCGCGUAGGCGGCUCGACAAGUCGGCCGUGAAAUCUCCAGGCUCAACUUGGAGGGGUCGGGCGAGACUGUCGGGCUCGAGGUGGGCAGAGGGCAGUGGAAUUCCGGGUGUAGUGGUGGAAUGCGUAGAGAUCCGGAGGAACACCAGUGGCGAAGGCGGCUGCCUGGGCCUGGCCUGACGCUGAGGCGCGAAAGCGUGGGGAGCGAUCCGG
rnacentral:rRNA from 1 species